CAAUAGCGUAUAUUAAAGUUGUUGCAGUUAAAAAGCUCGUAGUUGGAUUUGUGGCGUACGGUGUGUUCCGGGCACUUGUUGUCUGAGUAACCUGCUGUUGCCAUCCUUGGGUGGAACCUGUGUGGCAUUAGGUUGUCGUGCAGGGGAUGCCCAUCAUUUACUGUGAAAAAAUUAGAGUGUUCAAAGCAGGCUUAUGCCGUUGAAUAUAUUAGCAUGGAAUAAUGAGAUAGGACUUUUUUGCUAUUUUGUUGGUUUGCGCAAAGAGGUAAUGAUUAAUAGGGACAGUUGGGGGUAUUCGUAUUCCAUUGUCAGAGGUGAAAUUCUUGGAUUUUUGGAAGACGAACUACUGCGAAAGCAUUUACCAAGGAUGUUUCCAUUAA
rnacentral:rRNA from 1 species